rnacentral:tRNA from 1 species
GGGUAGGUGUGCAUAGUGGCGAUUGCAGUGGGCUGUAAACUCACGACGUAAGAAACACCGAUGGUUCGAGUCCAUCCCUACCCACCA